rnacentral:lncRNA from 1 species
GAAACAGACAAACUGCUGAAAUGGAAAAUACCAUAGGAAGGGAAUAAUUUAGACAGAGUAGACAGAGACAGUGUUUCUAUGGAGAUCUUUAUUUAAUUACAUUUCCUUUAAAUCAAGACCAGGAACACGUUCCAGAAACUGAUAAAAGACCAUUGGUAUUGGAGCGUAGUGAGUUGGGGGAGAAAGAAGAGUGAAAAAAAUUAUGUUGGAAAAACCAGAGAAGUGAACAGGUUAUGCUAGGAAGGCAUUUGGACCCUGACUCCCCAAAAGAUUCCCUGUUCUAGUUGGCCUUCUAUAUUGGUGGUUUCUGAAUACAUACCCCAAAGAACCUGAGCAUCAGUGAAUUCUGGUAUCUUCUGGGAGCCCUGGAACUAAUCUCUUGAAGAUACCAACGGAUGACUGUGUUUUAAAAGGCGAGAGAGAGAUGUCACUCAGGACUGCUUCCGAAGGAGUUUCCCUUGAAGCUUGCUUCACUGUCUGACUCCUUUCAUACAAGUGGGUAACAUGCCCUUCAUUCAGAACCAAACCUGUGCCCUGGCUUGGUAUAUUUCCUCCACCUGCUGAGCAUCCUCUCACCCUCUACUUUUACCUGGAAGAAAGAAGACAAUAAUAUCUACCAAUCAAGAUGCUGUACCUGAAGCAGAAGAUAACCUGGCAAAGAAAAGAGUAUAGUGCUGCCUUCAGGGAACUCCUAGUCUAGGGGAAGACAGCCAAUAAUCACAUAACUGCUCUAAUCAAAUAUUUCACCAAAAUAAAGUAUUAGCCACCUCCUAGAAUCCAGGCUCUGUUGUAAGUGCUGAGGAUACGGCAAUGAACAUAAAUGCCUAAACUCUGCAGUGUUGGUGCUCACAUUCUUGUAAAUAAAUACACAAUUGUCCCUGCAUGGAGGCCAGGCACUCUAGAAUAUUAGGGGACCUUGUUCUCACAUGGUGGCAUCCCUGGAUAGAUGACACAACUGGCUUUUCUGAUGCUGUUUCAUACUUUGGCCCAGAAUCCGGCAACAUUUUCUGUCAUGAUAAGACAGAGGUUAUGUAGAAAAGGAAACAGACUCACUUUGUAUCUCUUACAGGUUGUGAUCUGGCCAAAAAAUAAUAGCUGUGCCUAUAGCCCUAAGGUGCUGCUUUCUGGAAGCGCCAGAAUUCUGGUUCCUUUUCCUUGGUAUUCCUGCCCUCCUGCUAGUUGACUACAUUUAUAAGAGAAAAGAAUACCAAGAAAUUAGGCAGAACACGUGGAGUGUGUGUCUGUGAAGUGUGUGCCUGUAUAUGUUAGUGGGGCAUCCAGAAGAACGUGGGUGGUGUGUAUGUGUGUGUGUGUGUGUGUGUGUGUGUGUGUGUGUGUGUGUUUGGGGUGGUUGCUGGAAUAUUACUACACUGCAUUCUGAGUGCACAAAGGCAGCAAAAACCCUAGUAGUAUAUUUAGGAGGAAAUCAAUUUUUU